rnacentral:rRNA from 1 species
AUCUGGGCGGCGGAAUUCAGGAUGGCGAGCGUGUCCUCGCGGCGCGUUGGCCGUUUGAUAUUUCCGUCGCCGAUCGCACUCAGACGUCGCGACCUGUUCGCGGUCGGUCCCUGCUACGGAGGAGCCGCGUUCGAGUUCGUUGUGGGCGCGUUUCGGCGCGUUUCACGGCGAAGGCGCGGAUCUCUGGCUGGCCGACGGACAGUACGUUCAACGGUGUCCGGUGUCGUCGUAUUCGUACGCGCGCGCAUCGGUACCGGUCGGCGACGAAUUCUUCGGACCUCUUUCCGACCCGUCUUGAAACACGGACCAAGGAGUCUAACAUGCGCGCGAGUCGCGGGGUGUCGAGCGUACUUCGGUGCGUUCGUUACGUUGCGAAACCCGUACAUGUCGAAGGCGUAAUGAAAGUGAAUGGGGAAGAUGGUGUUCCGAGUACACGUUCCGCGAUCGUCGGUAUCGCGGCCGGACACCCGCACUCCCGGGGCGUCUCAACGGCCCGUCGUCGAUGCGGACAGUGGUCUUUAACCGGGCGGCUGUCGGUCGGCGACGAACCGA